rnacentral:rRNA from 1 species
UAGGGAAUCUUCGGCAAUGGGGGCAACCCUGACCGAGCAACGCCGCGUGAGUGAAGAAGGUUUUCGGAUCGUAAAGCUCUGUUGUAAGAGAAGAACGUGUGUGAGAGUGGAAAGUUCACACAGUGACGGUAACUUACCAGAAAGGGACGGCUAACUACGUGCCAGCAGCCGCGGUAAUACGUAGGUCCCGAGCGUUAUCCGGAUUUAUUGGGCGUAAAGCGAGCGCAGGCAGUUGGAUAAGUCUGAAGUUAAAGGCUGUGGCUUAACCAUAGUAUGCUUUGGAAACUGUUCAACUUGAGUGCAGAAGGGGAGAGUGGAAUUCCAUGUGUAGCGGUGGAAUGCGUAGAUAUAUGGAGGAACACCGGUGGCGAAAGCGGCUCUCUGGUCUGUAACUGACGCUGAGGCUCGAAAGCGUGGGUAGCGAACAGG